rnacentral:rRNA from 1 species
UACGCUGAGUUACCAGCACGUAAAGUGGGGACUCUCAGUGGACUGCCGGCGACAAGCCGGAGGAGGGUGGGGACGACGUCAAGUCAUCAUGGCCCUCACGUCCAGGGCGACACACGUGCUACAAUGGCCGGCACAACGGGAAGCGACGGCGCGAGUCGUAGCGGAUCCCUCAAAGCCGGUCCCAGUUCGGAUUGCAGUCUGCAACUCGACUGCAUGAAGCCGGAAUCGCUAGUAAUCGUGGAUCAGCCAAGCCGCGGUGAAUACGUUCCCGGGCCUU